ensembl:lncRNA
UUAAACAAUUAAUUUUGAACGAUUUUUGAACACCGUUCUAAACAAACUGUAAACGAAAAGAAUGGAUACGAAGGCCAUGGUAUUAGCGGCAGCCUCCAUGUUAAUGGAAGAGUUUACAGAAGAGGGUUUGCAAGUGGUCGACCUCGUUGAAAGCCUACUGCAGACAACCAGUACGGAAAAUUCAAGAAUAGAGGGCUACGUCACCGAAGUUGUACCCACUUACUGCGAUAUAACGUUCAAAUCGCAUUUUAGGAUACAAAAGACAACAGUUAAAAGACCUGGGACCAAAGACUGGGUCCAGGUCAGGGGGCAGGACCCCUCAGAGACCUGGGACCGAAGACUGGGUCCAGGUCAGAGGGCAGGACCCCUCAGACACCUGGGACUGAAGACUGGGUCCAGGUCAGGGGUCAGGACCCCUUAGAGAGCUGGGACUGAAGACUGGGUCCAGGUCAGGGGCAGGACCCCUGAGAGACCUGGGACUGAAGACUGAGUCCAGGUCAGGACCCCUCAGAGACCUGGGACUGAAGACUGGGCCCAGGUCAGGACCCCUUAGAGACCUGGGACUGAAGACAGGGUCCAGGUAAGGGGCAGGACCCCUUAGAGACCUGGGACUGGAGACUGGGUCCAGGUCAGGGGGCAGGACCCCUUGGAGACCUCCUGGGACCCAAGGAGCUGGAGGGGCAUUCCAGAUGUGCUGCUAGGACAACCAACAGAAAGCUCUGGAGAAACAUCUGCUCAGCUUGAAGGAGUUGAACUGAAGAAAGGGGAAGAACCAUCGGCUGAACCAACACAUUCUCACUCCGAGCACGUCGAUUUUUGACGAACGGUCAGUGACUUUGUGCUUCUUUUUUCGACGCAUUGGGUUUUCAACUCGUUACAAUGUAAUCCCUCCAUGGCAAUAUAUGAAGCUAUGAGCAUUCAUCCCAUUGGCUAACGGGGGACCGGAUGGCUGCACAUAGAGACGCUAUGAGCAUUCAUCCCAUUGGCUAACGGGGGACACGAUGGCUGCACAUAGAGACGCUAGGGUCAGAACAGUGACAAUAAUGAGUAGGAUUCACAAUUUUUUUUUGUGAUUUAUAUAUAAAUUACUCUCUUCUCACAAAUACAUUUCAAUGCACACAAAUGGAUAUCGGU